rnacentral:rRNA from 1 species
GAGUUUGAUCAUGGCUCAGAUUGAACGCUGGCGGCAUGCCUUACACAUGCAAGUCGAACGGCAGCACGGGAGCUUGCUCCUGGUGGCGAGUGGCGAACGGGUGAGUAAUGCAUCGGAACGUAUCCUGGAGUGGGGGAGGUAACGUAGCGAAAGUUACGCUAAUACCGCAUAUUCUGUGAGCAGGAAAGCGGGGGACCUUCGGGCCUCGCGCUCUUGGGGCGGCCGAUGUCGGAUUAGCUAGUUGGUGAGGUAAAGGCUCACCAAGGCGACGAUCCGUAGCAGGUCUGAGAGGAUGAUCUGCCACACUGGAACUGAGACACGGUCCAGACUCCUACGGGAGGCAGCAGUGGGAAUUUUGGACAAUGGGGGGCAACCCGUGAUCCAGCCAUGCCGCGUGAGUGAAGAAGGCC